rnacentral:rRNA from 1 species
UUAAUUGAAGAGUUUGAUCAUGGCUCAGAUUGAACGCUGGCGGCAGGCCUAACACAUGCAAGUCGAGCGGCAGCACAGAGGAACUUGUUCCUUGGGUGGCGAGCGGCGGACGGGUGAGUAAUGCCUGGGAAAUUGCCCGGUAGAGGGGGGAUAACCAUUGGAAACGAUGGCUAAUACCGCAUAACCUCGCAAGAGCAAAGCAGGGGACCUUC